rnacentral:rRNA from 1 species
AGAGUUUGAUCAUGGCUCAGAACGAACGCUGGCGGCGUGGAUUAGGCAUGCAAGUCGAACGCGAAAGAGGGGGCAACUCCUCGAGUAGAGUGGCGAACGGGUGAGUAACACGUGAGAAACCUGCCUUCAGCAGGGGGAUAACACUCCCAACGGGGUGCUAAUACCGCAUGAGACCACGGGUCCGCAUGAACCUGAGGUCAAAGGUGGCCUCUGCUUGCAAGCUACCGGCUGAAGAUGGUCUCGCGUCCCAUUAGCUAGUUGGUGGGGUAAUGGCCCACCAAGGCGACGAUGGGUAGCUGGUCUGAGAGGAUGGUCAGCCACACUGGGACUGAGAUACGGCCCAGACUCCUACAGGAGGCAGCAGUCGAGAGGCUUUGGCAAUGGGGGAAACCCUGACCAAGCGACGCCGCGUGAGGGACGAAGGCCCUUGGGUUGUAAACCUCUUUUGUCGGGGAAGAAACGCGAUCAGGUGAACAAUCUGGUCGUUUGACGGUACUCGGCGAAUAAGCUCCGGCUAACUCCGUGCCAGCAGCCGCGGUAACACGGGGGGAGCAAGCGUUGUUCGGAAUUACUGGGCGUAAAGGGUGUCUAGGCGGUUGAGUAAGUGAGAUGUGAAAUGCCCCGGCUCACCCGGGGACCUGCAUUUCAUACUGCUUAGCUCGAGUACGGGAGAGGAUGAGGGAAUUCCUGGUGUAGCGGUGAAAUGCGUAGAUAUCAGGAGGAACACCGGUGGCGAAAGCCUCAUCUGGCCCGAUACUGACGCUGAAGCACGAAAGCUAGGGGAGCAAACGGGAUUAGAUACCCUAGUAGUCC